UGAACCGGCUCAGCACAUUCCCUCUCGGCGGCGGCUUAUCGCGCCAAGGAUGUGCUUUUGACUGGCCAUCAAUCAUGUUUGAACGUUCCCCGUGAUUCCUGAGAUAGGAACCCCUUUGAUACAAGUUAACAAUACAGCACACGCAGCGUGGGCUGAGGAGAAUUCUUUUGAAUAAGUACCCAGGAAUGCUUAAGUGGCUGCCAAACCGGAGAAGAAAAGGGCCUGGAGGGCGGCUGAGAGGAACAAAGGGGAACUGAGGAAGAGAUGGAGUGGAGAGCAGAGGACGAGUGUGAAAGGCAAGAUGAGCACAUGAAGCCGAAGACAGUUCUGUGAAAACGCCGCGCAGAGCUCCAAGGGAGCUGUCGGGGCAGAAAAGACCGCAGAAGGGGCGGUGCAUCCCAACAGGAACCCCUGCUCUGCACCUUACCAUCAACACACCGCAAAAGAGCCAUUUUGGAAUAUGUUCCUGGGAACUCAAAGUUCACUCACUACUCAUACCUACCUCGUGUGAGAUUCAUUUAUUAAAAUGGAGGUAGGCUUCA